AUCGCUUCUCGGCUCUUUUGAGCUAAGAUCAAGUGUAGUAUCUGUUCUUCUCAGUUUAAUACCUGGGACGGAAACGAUUCGUUUCCUCUAUGUAUUAAUCGGAUUUUUGAACUUGGAGUAUGGUGCUGGAGCUUGCUCCACCCUGCUCGGGAAUUGUCCUGGUAUUGCAGUCCCGGCAGGAACGG
rnacentral:snRNA from 1 species